CAAUGCGUGCUAUGGGUCCUUUUUUCUAACACUUGCAGAAGAUUUCAGCCCCGGCCACGAUGUUUGCUGUCAGAGGAUGGAAAAGUCUUCCUCAAUUUAUGGUUCAUACCCCAUUCUUCUGAAGUGCUGGUUAUGUUCAAAACUCUGCCAGAAAAGGCAGCUUUUAAAGCCUUAAAGCGAACUCUACAGCUGAUAGCUCCUCUGCAUGAUAUCGUGGCCUACCUUGUCAGUUUUGCUAAGCUUGGCAAUUGUCCAGCAUGUUUUGAAUUUCCUCGAAGUCCCAACCCUUUGAGAGGUGACUGGGGAGGAACUGAGGGCAUUGGGUCUGAGCUUCAAGAGCUGCAGAACAUGAUUGACAGCCUUCAGAGCCCCCAAGACCCUAGCCGGGUGGCCCAGGCACUCCUCCUCCGGAGGGAGGUUAUGUUUUUGCAGUUUGACGCUGCAGUAAGGCAUCUCAUCCGAAGAACAUUUUUGGCAGCUGGAAAUGUUCCUGCCUACCAGUCUGUCACAGACGGCAUGUGCCAUGGGCUACCAGCACUGAGCAACUCUCUCAGGAAGAGCAUUUUUGCCUCACAGCUCAGCCUGCCCCAGCCACUGGAUCCACGGAGCCUCCAGGCAUUUGAGCUGUUUCCUUGGAGAGCAUUUCUGGAAGAUGGAGGACCAUUCCCAGUUAUGAGUAACAGCCCAGAUACCCUAGAAUAUAAUAUGCAGGUAGGAUAGGUCUUCUCCAUUGUUGCAGAGAGAACUGAGUGCAGACUGCAAAGAUGGUUGCCAUUGGGUUCACAGGUCAGAUCCUCCUACUCUCACCCACGAUGAAUAAUGUGUGAGAUAAGCAGCGUGUUUGAUUUUGAGGCUGUAAACCCAGGGUCACGAGGUGAGUCACAUUUUCUUAUGAUAGAAGGGAAGCAUGCUCUCAACUGGCAUGGGCCUGGGUUGUAGACUCAGCUGCAGUUUUCAUAACAGUAGUGAUCUGGGAGAAUGGCCAGUCAUCUUCAGUCAUGGGCUGGGCCUCUUAGAGAAACUCCCAGGCUGGCAGCUCAGAGAUGUGUGACUCCUGACCUGUCCGUAAACAGUUGUGGGAAGGGAACUUUUUAAAGCAGGACUCCUAGGGAGAAUUUCUUUUCAUUGUUUUCUUUUUUGCUGUUAAUUUCCUUUAAAUAGUUUGAUUCUUUUCAUUAUUAAAUGUUUUCCCCUGAUUAU
rnacentral:sRNA from 1 species